CUCACAAGUUUCACAACACGUCAGUCGCCAGUCAGCGGAGUGCUCACCCAUUGACAAGUGCGCUCCAGCCCUCUCACCGGCGCUUUGUAUUUCCAUUAAAUUUACAAAUAAGCCUCGUCGUUUAUUUGCGUUUAGAAGAGAAACACCACUGUCAGCAAAAUGGUCAGCGGAGGGCGAGAAUGCAUCAGUAUCCACGUGGGUCAGGCUGGGGUACAGAUGGGCAACGCAUGCUGGGAGCUGUACUGCCUGGAACACGGGAUCCAACCCGACGGUAUGAUGCCCCUGGACGAAACCAUUGGCUACGGUGACGACUCCUUCAACACCUUUUUCAGCGAGACCAGGACGGGGAAACACGUCCCCAGGGCAGUCUUCGUUGAUCUCGAGCCUACGGUGGUGGAUGAGAUCAGGACGGGCACCUACCGUGAACUCUUCUCACCCAACUCCCUCCACACUGGCAAGGAGGACGCUGCCAAUAACUAUGCUCGUGGACACUACACUGUGGGUAAGGAACAGCUGUCUGUGGUGCGGGAUACCAUCAGGAAGCAGCAUGAACAGUGUUCAGGCCUUCAGGGUUUCCUCGUCUUCCACUCCUUCGGUGGCGGCACUGGCUCUGGCUUUGGCUCUUUGCUGAUGGAACACCUCUCUCUUGACUAUGGCAAGAAGUCAAAACUCUGUUUCUCCAUUUAUCCAGCUCCUCAGGUUUCGACAGCAGUGGUGGAACCAUACAAUUCAAUUCUUUUCACCCACACAACAUUGGAACACUGUGACGUAGAAUUCAUGGUUGACAAUGAGGCUAUCUACGACCUCUGCAAGAAGGAACUACAUAUAAGUCGACCCACCUACACCAACCUCAACCGUAUGAUUGGUCAGGUUGUUUCCAGCAUUACUGCAUCUCUGAGAUUUGAUGGAGCACUCAACGUUGACUUGACUGAGUUCCAGACAAAUCUGGUGCCAUACCCAAGGAUCCACUUUCCUUUGGCAACUUAUGCUCCGGUUGUGUCAGCUGAUAAUGCUCUGCAUGACAACUUUGAUGUCCGCACCAUCACCGCGAAAUGUUUUGAACGAGAUCAGCAGAUGGUAAAGUGCAACCCCUUGGAAGGUAAAUAUAUGGCAUGUUGCCUUUUGUUCCGAGGUGAUGUUGUCCCUAAAGAUGUCAAUGGAGCCAUCGCUGAACUGCGCACAAAGAGAACUAUAUCCUUUGUUGACUGGUGCCCCACAGGCUUUAAGGUGGGUAUCAACUAUCAGCCACCUACAGUUGUUCCUGGAGGUGACCUGGCUAAGUUGGAGCGUGCUGUGUGUGUUCUCUCCAAUACUACCGCUGUUAAGGAAGCUUGGAAACGCCUUGAUAGAAAGUUUGAUCUGAUGUACUCUAAAAGAGCAUUUGUCCAUUGGUACGUCGGUGAAGGCAUGGAAGAAGGAGAGUUUGAUGAAGCCCGUGAUGACAUGGAAGGGAUUGAGGUGGAGUAUCAUGAACUGGAGAUAACUUCAGAUGAAUUGAGCUUGAAUGAGGAUGGUGAGGAUGAAUACUAGUCCACACAGAGAAAACUCGGUCUCAAGAAGAGUCCUCCAAACAGAAGACUGAACAUCAAGAUCUCUUCAACCACAACACUCAGAAACAAAGAAAAUUAUCAUCAAGGUGAGUUUGCAGAGGCACGGGAUGACUUAGCUGCCCUGGAGAUGGACUAUAUGGAGGUAGAGGAGAACCCAGGCACUGAUGUGGAAGAUGAUGAUGAUGAUGGAUAU
rnacentral:misc_RNA from 1 species